AGUCACUGAUGAUUUUUUUUGGUUAUAAGAGUAGUGGACAGAAGACAUUUCUGAGAAAUUUUACCUGAGACU